UACGGGGGGGGGCAAGCGUUGUUCGGAAUUACUGGGCGUAAAGGGUUAGUAGGUGGCCAACUAAGUCAGACGUGAAAUCCCUCAGCUUAACUGGGGAACUGCGUCUGAGACUGAUUGGCUCGAGGACAGGAGAGGAACGCGGAAUUCCAGGUGUAGCGGUGAAAUGCGUAGAUAUCUGGAGGAACACCGGUGGCGAAGGCGGCGUUCUGGACUGUUUCUGACACUGAAUAACGAAAGCCAGGGGAGCAAACGGG
rnacentral:rRNA from 1 species